rnacentral:rRNA from 1 species
GACGAACGCUGGCGGCGUGCUUAACACAUGCAAGUCGAGCGGUAAGGCCCUUUCGGGGGUACACGAGCGGCGAACGGGUGAGUAACACGUGAGCAAUCUGCCCUUCACUUUGGGAUAACCACCAGAAACGGUGGCUAAUACCGAAUAUGACCAGUCUCUGCAUGGAGUGCUGGUGGAAAGUUCCGGCGGUGGAGGAUGAGCUCGCGGCCUAUCAGCUUGUUGGUGGGGUAAUGGCCCACCAAGGCGACGACGGGUAGCCGGCCUGAGAGGGUGACCGGCCACACUGGGACUGAGACACGGCCCAGACUCCUACGGGAGGCAGCAGUGGGGAAUAUUGGACAAUGGGCGAAAGCCUGAUCCAGCAACGCCGCGUGAGGGAUGACGGCCUUCGGGUUGUAAACCUCUUUCAGUAGGGACGAAGCUAACGUGACGGUACCUACAGAAGAAGCACCGGCCAACUACGUGCCAGCAGCCGCGGUAAUACGUAGGGUGCGAGCGUUGUCCGGAAUUAUUGGGCGUAAAGGGCUCGUAGGCGGUUUGUCGCGUCGGGAGUGAAAACUCGGGGCUUAACUCCGAGCCUGCUUCCGAUACGGGCAGACUAGAGGUAUGCAGGGGAGAACGGAAUUCCUGGUGUAGCGGUGAAAUGCGCAGAUAUCAGGAGGAACACCGGUGGCGAAGGCGGUUCUCUGGGCAUUACCUGACGCUGAGGAGCGAAAGUGUGGGGAGCGAACAGG